rnacentral:lncRNA from 1 species
GUGCAAAAGCAAAAGCUUAGCUCUUGCAAUUACGAGACCAACCAUUCUGUGUAAACAUGCUAUCCCAAUUGCUAAUAUUAUGUCCACACAUGGAAUCGAUAUAUGCAAAGUCCCACGUGCAGUAAGUAAUAUGUUGAGUGCAUCCAAUAUUUUCAAUGCACAUUUACUCACGUAACCAGGCAAUACCUUAAAGUAAGUGGGUGUGCAGUUCCUGCAUCUCCACCAAUCACUACUCCACGACUUUGGUUUGUAUAAAUUGACUUUAGUUCAUUUUCUUUACUUGGUCUACCAUCUGUGGUUAUCAUCUGCCGAUGGUUUUGACAGCAAGCUUCUUCAUAGUGCUACUCUUUUCACCAAAGAAAUCCCAGUUGGAUCACCACCCCACUCUUCAAACACAACCAACAAGUUUCCAGUUGGGUUCAGCCAAGCGCGAGGAACAUGAUACCUGAGAUUUGUGGUCAGUAAUCAGUCAUUUAUUCGAUUCUUUUGCAUGCUUUGACUGAAGUGGACAAAAAGGCAGGUGUUUCAUUACCAUUUUUGAGAAGGCUCCCCACAAUUAGUCUGGCAUUUCUUCUCGUUGUAUGUCCCUCUGUAAUCGCACCAAUCACAAGAACCAUAUGCCUUAUAGGCAGGCCAAUAUCUGCCAAUGCUUUGUCCAUUGAUCCAUAUCUGACCUUUGCCCAUGCUACUCAUGUCUAAUGCCAAUGGCUCGUUCCCAGCUGGAGCAUUAAAGAAAGCCUGGAAGAUGACAAAGAUUGAGUGAGAAAAUAGUCUCAAGCAUGAGAGGAAAGAAGAUGAACUUUAGGAUAACAUGUUUCUGUGUUGCAAGCGGUUCUGACCUUGUACCAAGUCAAGGGCUGCCUUGUAGAUGCACCCCCCCACUUAACUGAAGAACUGCCACUAAGUGUAUAGAUGCUCAGGGAUUCACCUCUAAGGCCGAUCUACACACACAAACAUGGAACUCAGUAACCAGUAAGCAAGUUUUAGUCAGAGAGUCAGCAGGUAGGAAGAGUUGAUUGGAACCUGGUAAAUCCAUUUCUGUGAUGAAAGGUCUCUCUUUCCUUCAUUGAGACCGUCCAGGGUCACUGGACCAAGAACACCAGCAUUCCAUGUCUCAAAGUGGUUGCCAAUAUUCUGAAACAGAUAAAGAACAGGAAUACGGAGUCUAAACAUCCAUCUUGUGUGUGUAUAAUUGUAUAGGGUUAUUGGUAUGAUAUUUCAACUUUUGGAUCAAUGGCCAGGAAAUAUUUCGCAACAAAGAAUGUACUCACAGGAAGACCAACAGCGACACUUAGAAUCGAGAUUUUGUUGCUUCCUGCCCACAACUUCACAUUUCCUGUGAAUCUUAUCUUUGGAUUGUCCAAACUACCAUAGACAGUCCCUGCCAGAAGAAAAGAUAAGCAAAAAACAAAUCGGAACCUCACCAAACGUCGAGCAUAUCAUCAAGAAACAAUUCUUCACAAGGCAAAGCCACUCACCGGCCAGUUCUCCAUUGAUGAAAACAUGCAUAGAAUGACCUGCCGACAUCACAGUUAGGAAAGGGUAUCGACCAUUCUUCAAGAAUUGCUCAUUUGAGUCUAUGUUAACACUGAAGAGUGGAGAUCGUGAGUCAUUGAGUGAUAGAGGUCAUUGAUUCUGUCUCAAAUAGAGAAGCUGCAAAGGAACGUCUACUCACUAUGUAGUGUACCACAGGUAGUCUGUCCGAUCCCAUGUCAUGCUUAUCUGCUCCACCAAUCCAUCUUUUGAGAAUGAUUUAUCCCUCAGUGAGUGGGUAUCCUCACUGAAGGACUCCCAAGAAAAUCCGCCAACCCAAGUCAUAUUAAUCUGCGACGUCGGAGCUCCUACCUGUGUUUAUCAUUAGCAUCUUUGUGUUUAAGACAGUCAUGAAAAUUCAACCAUGGAAGUCCUAUUCCAUCCAAGAAAAUUUGGAAUACAUAGCGAGAGAUACAUUUUCCUGAGCCAAGAAACAAACAACUCAACGGAGAGGUGAGUUUUAUGAGUAUAGGAAUAGAAUGCAACCGUGACCAUUAAUCAUCAAAGAUUUCUCACCUUUGCAGUGUUGAACACUGCGGUUUUGCAGUCUGGAAGAAUGCUGACGGACCAAGCUGGAAUAUGAUACUUCAUUCCGUUGAAAGUAACAGGUGCAUAAGAACGGGAGUUGAAAUUAGAAAGGAAUGCAGCACAAGCGCCUGACUUCGAUCUGUAUACAUGCGCCUGCAAGAAGUCGAACGUAGAAAAGUUCCAAAAUGCCAAAUCAUCGAAAAUAUUCUUGCAAAUUUUACAGCAAGAUAUAAGAAUUGAACCUCCUGAUAUUUUCCGAGAUUUGUCACUGUGGGAUCCCCAGAGACGAGAGCUGGUUCACACGAUUUGAUUGCUUUAUGCAGGUCUGUCAGAUGUCCCCAUUUCGGUUGCCUUAACAGACCUGAGAAAGAUUACAAUAUGUUUAUCACCAGAUAGAGGGAAUGGUAAUAGUCGGCAUCAAAUAGAUUUGUAUUGCAUCAUCAGAUGCUUGACCAAUGAGACUGCACAGUGUCUUCUUCGUAGAAGAGGAACAAGAUUUUAGCACCAAAAAGAAGACAUAGGAAAAGCAUAAGCAAACUGAGUGGGAACUGUAUUACCUCUAAUCUUCUCUUAAUCUUGAAAGAACCCAAGUAUUUGACCUAAAUAAUUCUUUGUGUGUGGUAGAUGAUCAAGCCAACCAUUCAUGCCCUUUUCCCCCACCCACGGACAAACUUCUAAACAAGAUGUUUGAUAUAAUGUUUAUGUAUGUUUGUAUCUUUUGACAUGUUCGCACAACAUAUAGAGGGACGAUCGAAUACUUAAUUACCCCAUUUCAGUUAGGUUUGGUGGUCGCUUUUGGCUUAUAAAUAAAAAUUAUAUUAUGUGGACACUUGCGAGAGAUAUUCGAUCUGUAUUGGACCAUUUUGACCCUUUGUUGUGCAACCAUUCAGAACUUGUAAAGUCAUGUUGAUAAUUUGCAUUGGUUAUGAGGUGUUUUUUGGAAUGUUUGUUUAUGGAUUCCGAGUGAGGCAUUUUCUCUAACUCGUUUUCUCUUUUGUAGGUCCUAAGAGACCAUGGGAGGUUUCGGAAAGACUGACCUUUACGGACGGACACACAAGGGUAUUGCACAACUUUGGCAAAGCCAACUAACCUCAUUUUAGUUAGGUUUGGUGGCCGUUUUAGGCUUAUAAAUAAAAAUUGUAUUAUGUGGACACUUGCGAGAGAUAUUCGGUCUGUAUUGGAUCAUUUUGACUCUUUGUUGUGCAACCGUUCAAAACUUGUAAAGUCUGUUGAUAAUUUGCAUUGGCUAUGAGGUGUUUUUUGGAAUGUUUGCUGAUGGAUUCUGAGUGAGGCGUUUUCUCUAACCCAUUUUCUCUUUUGUAGGUCUUAAGAGACCAUGAGAGGUUUUGGAGAGGCUGACUUUUGCGAACGGAUAUGCAAGAGUACCGCACGACUUAAACAAAACCAACUAAAUCCAUCAUCAAAAGCAUGACCUCCAACGGGGCGAAUUCAUAAGAAGUCACAAGUUAGACCAAAACCAUAUCAUUACAACGUGAAAAUUAUUACAAAUGUUAGAAAAAUGGCAUACCGUAUUCAUCGAUUGGGGCAUCAUAGUCAUAGCUGGUCGCAAUAAAAGGACCACCAGCCGUCCUACCGAAGUUGGUUCCUCCAUGGUACUGCAGUUGACGUAAACAUGCAAAUUCGUUUACUUCAACAUGAUGGACAGCAAUCAGUAAUUACUGAAACAACUGAGGUAGAACAUACAAUUUCUUACCAUAUAGUAGUUAACGAAGGAACCACCUUUCGCUAUAAACCUUGCGACAGCAAAAGCCAUGUCCUGAACAGGCCGGUGAGGAACUGGACCCCCGAAACCAGUGAACCUAUUAACAUAGAAUACAUAGAAUAAAUUCACUGGAUAGAUUAAUUUCUUGUGAAAAUUUAUAUGAAUUCAAAUGUGAAGAAGUAGCGGUUACCAGCCAGUCCAAGCUUCAGUCCACAUGGUCGGUUUAUAAGGCUUGUUUGGUGAGAAGUAAUCGCAGUAGAACCCAUUGCAGGCAUUGAUCUUUAAAGACAAAAGCCCAAAAAAAGAGAUCACAAUAAGUCACCCAAGCUGGUCUAACAUGCAACUACAAACCCUCUAAUUAGGGCAGCUGGAAUUUAAGUAGAUAAAAGUCAUGUUGGACUUGACAAGGUAGAGAAGGAACAUGAACUUGGGGUUCUUCCUGAUGUGGUAGAACAAGAAAACCGAAAGCUUGGACUUACCACUGGAUCAGGUGCAUCAUCUUGCUUGCACAUGACCCACGGCACACCGGUGUUGAGACCCACUGCCAUUUGAGCAGCCCAGCUUAGGUAGUUCUUGGCUGCAGCGCCGUCAUAGUACUCCUGUAUACUAUAUUCGUUUUCAAUCUGCUCAAGUUAGACAAAGAGCAUGGAAGAACAGAAAGCGAAUUAGAUGAGAUCUUUGGGAGCUGAUCAACUCGAUGACACAUAAAAGCUAACGAAUUGAUGAAAGCAAAGAAGGAAUGGAUUCGAUGAUACCUGAGAGAGGAUAAUGGGACCACCCUGUGAUUCAAAUAAUCCUUCAGACUUCAUCAUGGCGACAAUCUUCUCUGUGAACUUCGCCAUGGCCGCCUUUUACAUGAAUAGACCAAUUAGCAAUUGCUCGGUUAGAGGAGAUCGAGUAUAAACAUGUAAAGAGAAGUUCCUGUGGAUUCUUACCUUGAAAGGUCCAUUGUCGCUCCUGAAAGUGAUGCCAGGAACAUAUUUUAACCAGACAGGAAAUCCCCUGUUUUACAAAGACAAGAUGAACAACAGAACAGCAUCAUCAGAUUGCAUGAUUAGGCUUUUGAUUCCACAUAGAAGAAUUAAUUGAAGACCUCGACCUCGUACCCAAAGUUCCAUUCGGCACAAACAUAAGGACCAAUCCGGAGAUGAACAUAGAGGCCGGCCUGCUUCACCAGCUUGAUGAAGCGAACCAGGUCGUAAUUACCACCAAAAUAAUACUGCCAAAGAUCAAGAAAAGCAACAAAUUGAGGCACACUAUGGGAAGGAGCAGUAGCCUUAGACGAGAGGGCUGGGAAAGGUUGGGUGAUCUCCGAACCUGGCCAGGGGACGGCUCGUGGCCGUUCCAGAACACAUAGGUCUGGAUAACAUCCAAGCCGCCAUCUUUAGCCUUCUGGAUGAGAUCCGGCCACAUCUGGAGACGAUCCAAUCGACAAAGUUCAGGUUUUGACGCGGUAGAAUAACAGUGCACGAACAGCUCACCAAAAAGGCCACAUUUCCCACAGAAUUGGAGACCUUACCUCCGGGGUGCUCCUGGGAUAGUGAAUGGAACCGGAGAUUAGAAUCCUCCUCUGCCCAUUGACGAUGAUAGCCUUGUGGUCGUAGGAAACGGAGGCAUCGACCGGAGAGGAAUGCCACGGAGACGACACCACCACCAACGCCACCGCCAGUAGCAGCAGCGUCGACAGUCCGCGGCCGCACCCAAGCGUUAUAAGCUCGAGGCUCAUGGUGGCCGGUCGGUCUUACCUUCAGAGGAGUCUCCUUUAGUGUUCUGGAUGUAUAAUAUGUGAAUGAUGGAGAUUCGUGCGCGCUGUUCUUCCGUCUUCUCCUCCGCUAGAGAAGUUCCGACGGAACUAUUGAGCAGUAGCGUUACUGCAACAAGCACACACCGAGGAAGAGAGAGGGAGAUCAAAGAGGAGGGAGGGAAGAGGGCGGACGUGGAGUGGGAGCGCGGGGGCGGGGAGGACGGGGGAGGGCGAUGUGCCUCUUGCGGUAUAAAUACCCGACGGGCGCAAGCGAGCACAGGAUUGGCGCUGGAAUACGCGGGUCCCAAAGCGCCAGCCACGUCAACGUUUUCUUCCAUUCCCCCUGAACAGGAAAAAAUCAAAUGGACCGAAGCGUGGGGCCAUCUGCUUGUAAGAAAGUGGACCAAUUAAGAUAAAGCUUUGAUAGUUGGCAAGGAUCGACAGAGUCAAAAUAUUUUGUUAAAAUUAUUAUUUGAGAAAAUUAGGACAGAUAGGUUAUGUGGAAUAAUAUUAGAAACUAAUAAUAUUAGUUUAGUUUUGUAAGAAAAUUUUAUGUUGAUGAUAUUUUUUAGUUGUCUAAUAUAUCGAUAUACAUUAUGAUAGUAAGCGAGUUAGAUAACAUAUCCAUAACCAUGAUAUAAAUAUUUUUUUAUAAAAUUACAUAUACAUGAUAUACCUAAAGGGUUUGAUGAGAUAUAUCAUAUUAUUAUUUUAUUAUGUGAAUAACAAUUUUUUUAUAUGUUAAUUUAGUUUCACAUAAGAAAUGUAUAAAGAUUUAGAUAAGAGUAUGAUAAUUGUACCAUUCUUAUCGUGAGUUUAGAGGGAUUUAACUCAAAGUAUCUCUCUCAGACGAAGAUUAUAUAUGUGGCAGAUAAGGCUAAGCCAGAUAGGAGAGAAAGGUAUGUUUUUAAAUAAAUAAAGCUUUUUAAGCAAUGGAAUAUUGUCAAAAUUAAAAUAAUAUGAAUACUAUAUUUUUGAAAAGCAAAUAAAGUUUCUUGAGUUGUAAUGAUAUCCAUUUUAAGCAAAUAUAAUUGCUGCAUUAUAUUUUUAAUGUCGAUGCCAAUAUUUAUAGUCACUGAUUAAAACAUGCCACAUAUAAUAUUUUCUUUCAAUACCAGAAAGAUAUUUAUAGUAUGAAUGAAAGGAUAAAUUUAGCUGAAUAUGGAACAUGAUGAACCAUAUCAUAACCAAUCCUCAAUUGAACUAAAACUUAAUCCUUACAGAAAUAGUUUGUAAUCAUCCUAAACUGGUCUAAAUAGAUUUCUAUUUUAGAUUAAACUGGCCUAGACAGUGCCUGACCCAGUCUGAUCCUUGAUAAGUGGUCAAGCCAAGCUACUGAAAUGUUGACCUCUGUGUUUGUAACUCAUGAUGAAAUUCUAAGUGACAUUAACAGUUUCUUCUUUAUAGUUGAUAAAUCAUUGUCAUCUCUUUCUAAAAAUAAAAAUAAAAAAAGCUGGGAAUAAAAAUAUCUAUAACAAUGCCUUUUUCCUGGCACCAGAUUGUAUCUUUACCACUAAUUUCUUGUUUCUUGCACUGUUGCACAUGAUCAUCAUGCAUCUUGUUAGACAUCUCAAGUGGUUGCCACAUAGUUCAGAGCUCAGAAGCACAGCCACACAAUUGCAUCAGGAAUCAAAAUGCUUAUAAGCUUUGCAGAAGCAAUGGAAAAGGCAAAGGAUGAUAACUUAAUAUGGAUCAAAAUGCUUAUAAGCUUAAGUAGUACAGAAGCAAAAGCUUAGCUCUUGCAAUUACAAGACCGACCAACCAUUUUGUGUAAACAUGCUAUCCCAAUUGCUAAUAUUAUGUCCACACAUGGACUCAAUAUAUGCAGAAUCCCACGUGCAGUAAGUAAUAUGUUGAGUGCAUCCAAUAUUUUCUAUGCACAUUUACUCACGUAACCAGGCAAUACCUUAAAGUGGGUGUGCAGUUCCUGCAUCUCCACCAAUCACUACUCCACGACUUUGGUUUGUAUAAAUUGACUUUAGUUCAUUUUCUUUACUUGGUCUACCAUCUGUGGUUAUCAUCUGCAGAUGGUUUUGACAGCAAGCUUCUUCAUAGUGCUACUCUUUUCACCAUUGAAAUCCCAGUUGGAUCACCACCCCACUCUUCAAACACAACCAACAAGUUUCCAGUUGGGUUCAGCCAAGCGCGAGGAACAUGAUACCUGAGAUUUGAGGUCAGUAAUCAGUCAUUUAUUCGAUUUUUUCGCAAGCUUAAUGGGGUGGAAAAAAAGGCAGGUGUUUCAUUACCAUUUUUGAGAAGGCUCCCCACAAUUAGUCUGGCAUUUCUUCUCGUUGUAUGUCCCUCUGUAAUCGCACCAAUCACAAGAACCAUAUGCCUUAUAGGCAGGCCAGUAUCUGCCAAUGCUUUGUCCAUUGAUCCAUAUCUGACCUUUGCCCAUGCUACUCAUGUCUAAUGCCAAUGGCUCAUUCCCAGCUGGAGCAUUAAAGAAAGCCUGGAAGAUGAUAAAGAUUAAGUGACACAAUAGUCUCAAACAUGAGAGGAAGGAAGAUGAACUUUAGGAUAACAUGUUUCUGUGUUGCAAGCAGUACUGACCUUGUACCAAGUCAAGGGCUGCUUUGUUGAUGCACCUCCCCACUCAACUGAAGAACUGCCACUAAGUGUAUGGAUGCUCAGGGAUUCACCUCUCAGGCCGAUCUACACACACAAACAUGGAACUCAGUAACCAGUAAGCAAGUUUUAGUCAGAGACUAAUGUAGGUAGGAAGAGUUGAUUGGAACCUGGUAAAUCCAUUUCUGUGAUGAAAGGUCUCUCUUUCCUUCAUUGAGACCUUCCAGAGUCACUGGACCAAGAACACCAGCAUUCCAUGUCUCAAAGUGGUUGCCAACAUUCUGAAACAGAUCAGAGAACAGAAAUCUGAUGUCUCAACAGCCAUCUUGUGUGUAUAAUUGUACAGGGUUAUUUGUAUGAUAUUUCAACUUUUCGAUCAAUGGCCAGGAAAUAUUUCACAACAAAUUAUGUACUCACAGGAAGACCAACAGCGACACUUAGAAUCGAGAUUUUGUUGCUUCCUGCCCACAACUUCACAUUUUCUCUGAAAGUCAGCUUUGGAUUGUCCAAACUACCAGAGACAGUCCCUGCCAGAAGAAAAGAAAGCAAAAGCCAAAUCGGAACCUCACCAAAUGUUGAGCAUAUCAUCAAGAAUCAAUUCUCCACAAGGCAAAGCCACUCACCAGCCCGUUCUCCAUUGAUGAAAACAUGCAUAGAAUGGCCUGCCGACAUCACAGUCAGGAAAGGGUAUCGGCCAUUCUUCAAGAAUUGUUCAUUUGAGUCUAUGUUAACACUGAAGAGUGGAGAUUGUGAGUCAUUGAGUGAUAGAUGUCAUUGAUUCUGUCUCAAAUAGACAAGCUGCAAAGGAACGUCUACUCACUAUGAAGUGUACCACAGGUAGUCUGUCCGAUCCCUUGUCAUGCUUAUCUGCUCCACCAAUCCAUCUUUUGUGAAUGAGUUAUCCCCCAGUGAGUUGGUAUCCUCACUGAAGGACUCCCAAGAAAAUCCACCAACCCAAGUCAUUUUAAUCUGUGAUGUUGGAGCUCCUACCUGUGUAUAUCAUUAGUAACUUUGUGUUAAAGACACUGUCAUGAAAAUUCAACCAUGGAAAUCCUUUUUCAUCCGAGAAAAUUUGGAAUACAUAGUGAGUUAUACAUUUUCUUUAGCCAAGAAACAAAUAACUCAAUAGAGAGGUGAGUUUUUUUAAUACAGUAGUAGAAGCAACCAUGACCGUUAAUCAUAAAAUAUUUCUCACCUUUGCAGUGUUGAACACUGAGGUUUUGCAGUCAGGAAGAAUGCUGAUGGACCAAGAUGGAAUAUUAUACUUCAUUCCAUUGAAAGUAACACUUGCAUAAGAAUGUGGGUUGAAAUUAGAAAGGAAUGCAGCACAUGAGCCUGACUUUGAUCUGUAUACAUGUGCCUGCAAGAAGUCGAAUGUAGAAAAGUUCCAAAAUGCAAAUCAUUGAAAAGAUUCCUGCAAAUUUUACAGCAAGAUAUAAGAAUUGAACCUCCUGAUAAUUUCCGAGUUUUGUCACUGUGGGAUCCCCAGACACAAGAGCUGGUUCACACAUUUUGAUUGCUUUAUGCAGGUCUCUCAGAUGUCCCCAUUUCGGCUGCCUCAACAGACCUGAGAAAGAUUAUGAUACGUUUAACACCAAAUAGAGGGAAUGGUAAUACUUGGCAUCAAAUAUAUUUGUAUUGCAUCAUCAGAUGCUUGACCAAUGAGAUUGCACAAUGUCUUCCUUGUAGAAGAGGAACAAGAUUUUGGCACCAAAAAGAAGAAAUAGGAAAAGGAGAAGCAACCUGAGUGGGAAUUGUAUUACUACUAAUCUUCUCUUAAUCUUGAAAAGAACCCAAGUAUUUGACCUAAAUAAUUCUCUAGGUGAGCAAUCACAACUUUAUACCCACGCAAGUAAAAAGAUCAUGCAUUUCUUUCUAAAAGCUGGAUGAGAUGAUCCAAAAUCACAUCUUUCUGGAAUUAUCACAAGCAUGCUAUGUGUGCAGAUGAUGAAGUCAACCAUGCCUUUUUCCUCACAUCAAAAGCUCCAAAAGGGGCAGAUCAAUGAGAAGUCAUGAGUUAAUUUAAAACCAAAUCAUUACAAAAUGAAAAUUGUUACAUAUGACACAAUCAUUGAAGAAAAACUGCAUACCGUAUUCAUCAAUUGGGGCAUCAUAGUCAUAGCUUGUCGAAAUAAAAGGACCACCAGCCGUCCUACCGAAGUUUGUUCCUCCAUGGUACUGCAGUUGACGGAAACGUGAAAAUUCUUUUACUUCAACAUGAUGUACAGCGUUCAGUAAUUACUGAAACAACUCAAGUAGAACAUACAAAUUCUUACCAUAUAGUAGUUAACGAAGGAUCCACCCUUCUGUAUAAACCUUGCAACGGCAAAAGCCAAGUCCUCAACAGGUCUGUGAGGAACUGGACCCCCGAAAGCAGUGAACCUAUUGAGAUAGAAUAUAUAAAAUAAAUUCACUAGAUCGAUUGAUUUCUUGUGAAAAUUUAUAUGAAUUCAAAUGUGAAGUAGAGGUUACCAGCCAGUCCAUGCUUCAGUCCACAUAGUAGGUUUAUAAGGCUUGUUUGGUGAGAAAUAAUCACAGUAGAACCCAUUGCAGGCAUUGAUCUGUAAAGCCAAGAUCCAAAAAUAAUAUCACAAUAAGUCAACUUAGCUGGUGUAACAGGGAAUUACAAUUACUCUAAUUGGUGCAGCUGUAACGUAAGUAGAAGAAAGUGUUGUUGAACAGGACAGGGUAAAGGAGGAACAUGAAUUUGGUGUUGUUCCUGAUAUGACAGAACAAUAAAACCGAAAUCUUGAACUUACCACUGGAUCAGGUGCAUCAUCUUGCUUGCACAUGACCCACGGCACACCGGUGUUGAGACCCACUGCCAUUUGAGCAGCCCAGCUUAGGUAGUUCUUGGCUGCAGUUCCGCCAUAGUACUCCACUGGACCAUAUUCGUUUUCAAUCUGCUCAAGUUAGACAGAGCAUGGAAGAGCAGAAAGCGAUUUAGAUGAGAUCUUUGGGAGCUGAUCAAUGACACAUAAAAGCUAACGAAUUGAUGAAAACAAAGAAGGAAAGGAUUCAAUGAUACCUGAGAGAGGAUAAUGGGACCACCCUGUGAUUCAAAUAAUCCUUCAGACUUCAUCAUGGCGACAAUCUUCUCUGUGAACUUCGCCAUGGCCGCCUUUUACAUGAACAGACCAAUUAGCAAUUGCUCGGUUAGAGGAGAUCGAGUAUAAACAUAUAAAGUGAAGUUCCUGUGGAUUCUUACCUUGAAAGGUCCAUUGUCGGUCCUGAAAUUGAUGCCAGGAACAUAUUUUAGCCAGACAGGAAAUCCCCUGUUUUACAAAGACAAGAUGAACAACAGAACAACAUCAUCAGAUUGCAUGAUUAGGCUUUUGAUUCCACAUAGAAGAAUUAAUCGAAGACCUCGUACCCAAAGUUCCAUUCGGCACAAACAUAAGGACCAAUCCGGAGAUGAACAUAGAGGCCGGCCUGCUUCACCAGCUUGAUGAAGCGAACCAGGUCGUAAUUACCACCAAAAUAAUACUGCCAAAGAUCAAGAAAAGCAACAAAUUGAGGCACACUGUGGGAAGGGGCAGUAGCCUUGGACGAGAGGGCUGGGAAAGUUUGGGUGAUCUCCGAACCUGACCAGGGGACGGCUCGUGGCCGUUCCAGAACACAUAGGUCUGGAUAACAUCCAAGCCGCCAUCUUUAGCCUUCUGGAUAAGAUCCGGCCACAUCUGGAGACGAUCCAAUCGACAAAGUUCAGAUUUUGGCACAGUAGAAUCACAGUGUACGAACAGCUCACCAGAAAGGCCACAUUUUCCACAGAGUUGGAAAUCUUACCUCCGGGGUGCUCCUGGGGUAGUGAAUGGAACCGGAGAUUAGAAUCCUCCUCUGCCCAUUGAUGAUGAUAGCCUUGUGGUCGUAUGAAACGGAGGCAUCGACCGGAGAGGAAAGCCACGGCGGCGACACCACCACCAACGUCACCGCCAGUAGCAGCAGCGUCGACAGUCUGCGGCCGCACCCAAGCGUCAUAGGCUCGAGGCCCUUGGUGGCCGGUCGGUCUUAGUUUCAAAGGAGUCUCCUUUAGUGUCCUGGCCGUAUAAUCUAUGUAUGAUAGAUCGGUGCGCUCUGUUCGUCCGUCUUCUCCUCUGCUAGAGAAGAUUUGGUGGAACUAUUGAACAGUAGCGGCACUGUAACAAGCACACACCGAGGAAGAAAGAGGGAGAUCAAAGUGGAGGGAGGGAAGAGGGAGUGAUGGGGGGGCUGUGGAGCGGGAGCAGGGGGUGGUGCCCUUGCGGUUUAAUACCCGAGGGCCGAAGGCGAGAACACGAUUGGCGCCGGAACAUGAGGACCCCACAGCCCCACCCACUAACGUGGAUGCUUGACUCACGUUUUCCUCCGUUCCCCGUGAACAGCUUAUCAGGAAUUUUCUUGCACCUAAAAAAGAAAAAUCACAUGGAAAAAGAUGGGUAGAAUUUUACAUGUGAUUACCUCAGAUGAGGUCAAUACACAUUGGGAGUUAGGGAUCUGCGUGCCAUCAAGUUUGGACUCUCUCUGAUGAGCACACUACUCUAAUCCUGAGGCUAAAUAGUGGUUUAAGCUAAACAAAACUAAUAAUUUAAUUAUCCUUUCAACAACUCUCAUGGCUCUUCCGUUCCACUGCAACAUUGAGACUUCGAACCAGACGCCACAAGGAACCGUCGAGCAUGCAAAGGUACGAGAGCUUGUUCUUUUCCUCUGUUUCUUGUGGCCGUGAGCAGCAGCAGCAGCAGUCCUCCCGCGAAUUCAAACACAUUUGAACCCCAAAGGAGCUGCCACCCCUGCAACCCAUACGUAGGCUGUUAAAUCCCACCCAGAAAAGAAGGGAACUGCCUGCAUGUACUGACCAACCACACACACCUCAAAUGCUUCAGCAACUCCCAACACACCAUCGAGCCGCAGCAGGAGUGUACUCCAACCCGUGCUCUGCUUCCUCCUGCAUGAAAAAGAAGGGUAGAAAAGGUUAACUUUGUCAGUGAAAGUAACAUGCGAGAGUUUAGUUUAAUCUCUUUGUGAGAGGUUUAGUUUGGUCAGUUAAGGAGGCAUCUUGUUCUUCUUUAUCAUGCUCAUUGUUUCAAGCUUUGGUCAUCAGUUUCUUCUAUAGGAUUACAGCUCUUUUAGGUACAGCUUUAGACCUUGCAUGCAUGGGCACCUGCAUCAAAGUCUUGAAGAAGACAUUGCACCAACUGAGCCUACCCAUAUGGACUAACAACAGCCACCACAAAAGCUGUAGUAGUUGUAGUAGUAUUCCUCCUACCAGUUCUCUUGCGUGACUCAUUGUUUCAGAGUAUGUGGCACCCGCAUCAAACUCUGGAAAGAGAUUGCUGGAUGAAUUCAUUGUGUCAUCAGACUUUUUGAAUGGGUUAGAUAACAUGUGUUUUGUUGUUUCUUAGCCAAUUAGAUUGAUCUGGAAGAUAAAUGUAAUGAAGGAUGGAGGGAUCAGACCUUCAUUAGAUUAAUCUUUCAUAUUGUUAAUAACCUAUUAUUUUCCUCACAUUCCAUGUUCUUGUUGGUUCCAUUUGGUUUGGGUGAGGGAAUCUCAUUAUAAAUACUGACCUUGCAAGAGACAUGCCCCUAAAUCACCUCCCUCAACUUGGGGGUGCAUUAACAACUCUAUCCACAUACUAUUUAUCUACCAAACACACACAAGCAAUUUGGUCUCCCUACCUGAUUUUUAGGAUCCUAGUGCCAUCUUAUCUGUCAUCAUGUAGUCACCUUAGUCGAGAGGCAGCAGUCUCAACUACCAUUACAGUUCAUCUUCUUUCUCUGACUCCAAUCUGAAGAAGAGAACAUCAUUGUGGAACUGAGCUGAAGCGAUUUGGCACAUAAUUAACUGUCUUUGUUUAGGUUCGUCUUGGUUUCAAUUAAAGGGGAAUCAUCUUCUGAUGUGACCAUGAUAUUUGGCAGCCGAGGUUGCACAGAUAGAUGAAGAACUUCUUCACGCUACUGCAUGGAGUGAUGAAGACCCCAUCAAAGAAACAAGAGAAACUGAUUGAUGGAAACCCAUUGCGUAGGGUAAGAGAAGAAGAGAAGGAGAAGAAGGCCGUCGAGAAGGUAGGGAUGGAUUUCAUUGGUGUCAUUAUCCUUUAAUUGUUGGGGUAUUUCCAUAGAAGAUUUGACUCCUUAUACUCAACUUUCAGCUUGAAGACGACCAGCUCAUAACUGAGCACUUCAUGGCUGGCCUGUGUUUGAUGGGCCAAUUAGUCCAAAUCAAACCACAUUAUCUCAUUGAAAGGUAAUCAAAGGAAAUGGUUUGAACUGAAUUUUCAAAAAGAGAUUUUGAGGUCUAAAACAACAAAAUAAGCCAUUAGCUGUUUUUUUAGCAGAAGAGAACAAUGGAUUUCUUUUUGUUCUUUUGCUUCAUUAAUUCUUCCACUUGAUUAAGAAUCUCAAUAAAUUAUUCAACGAGUUGUGCAAUCUCUUCUUAUCAGCAUAAACAGAGUCCAAGAAAGUGGACUCUCUCACCACUUCAAGCGAGCUUCUCCUCUAUCCAUUUUGGAUGAGAGCAACCUGGUGUUGUCAAAAGUGAGCAGCAAUUGCAACGUAGAUCUAAGGAUAAACAAUUGCUUGUUGGCCAUUGUUCUUGUCAUUCCUAACACGAACCUUUGUAUCACUCAUGUAUUCAUGUAUGAAGCUACUCUCACUUCCACAAAUCUUGGCCCACAAGGCCAUCCUAUCCUUCUUUCUCGAGAAGCUUACGUCUCUGUUCUUCUUGUUAUGUGUCCAAAAGAAAAUAAAGACAGAAAGGGAAAGGAAGGAAAAGAAACAUGAGUGGCCACCACUGCAUUUUGUCAAAUCAUGAUAUGCUCAUCUCACAAAAUGUUCCAGAGGCAAACCUAUCCAUGCACAUCUCUGCUUAUCUUCCACUCCUAGUCAUCACCACACUCAUACUUAUCUAUUUCUUGCAAGAAACAACUCAACUCACAAGAUUUUGAUGCAGGGAAUCUCACUGUUUAGAAUCUAGACACUCAACUCCGCAACUGCUUUUGUUCUUAGCCACUUUCGGUUCCUUUUUCGGGUGAGUGUUUGGAUCUGAUCUCAUCUCCAAGUCUUAAAUUAGCAAACUGUUGGCAAACUUUAGGUUCACUUGCUCGGAAUCUGAUCAACACAAUCCAAACAAGUUAGCAAACUGACUUCAUCUCCAUGUCUUUAAACAGAAUCAACCAAGUCAUAACUCAAGGAAGUAUACAUUGAUGGUCCCACGCCACACAUGGUUGGAGCUUUCAUUAGCCGACUGCUGCAUUACAUUCAUUCUGCAACCUCUCCGAAGGGAUAAGGCUUGUUUGAAGGGAAACAAUUCCUGCGCAUAUUCUUUGAGGAGAAAAGGAAAAAAAAUAAGAAUAAGAGAAAGAGAUAAAUGCAAGAGUUCUAUCGGAAGAAGCAAUUGAAACCAGAGACAUGCAAGAGUAGGCCACCUCUCUCUCCUUAUCCCUUGGGGACAGGAGUCCGCCACACUUGCAGCUGGCUUGUUGAUGACGGGUCAUGGAGCUGUCAACCUCAUCCCACUAAUUCUGCAUGACAUCUUUAGUAGGUUGAUUUGAGCUGAUAUCAAGUUAUAUUUCAGUGAUCAUUCAGCUGAAACAUUAAGCUUAAACAGCAUAUUCAGAUACAGAAGACCAUUGAGAUGUUUGAGGUGUGUGUUGAGAGAAACAACAAUAUAUGAGAAUGAAGAACACAACUGGCUGGUUUGCCAGUGGAUAAAGUUUGGAGUCGACAUCGAGGAUGCAGGUCUGCUACGACACCACAAAAGACUAUUGACUUAUUUUGAGGUCAGUAUCGACUGCUUGAUCUAUCCACACCCGACAUUGGUCAUCCUGCAACAGCUUUUUCUACCUCAAAAGACUCGAAUUCUUUCCUGGAUAACGGCAUACAAAGAAAUCUUUCUCAAAAUCUACAAGAUUUUGACCAGAUUGCUUGACAUGAAGUAAACAGGAGUAAUUUGGGUUAAGAAAUGCAGGUACUCAAUUAUUUGUCAAUCUCAAAUCAUUCUUGAAGAUGAUGCUGAUGCUUUUAGCUGAUAAAUCUUGCAAGACUUUCAUGUACUUCUUGGCCACAGUACCAUCUUCGACCAAGUCAUUGAUCUCUACAGACUUUGAUGGUGACAAAGUCUUAUCCACUCUUUCCUUUAAUCUAACUAAUCCAAGGAUGAUCUCAUCACUGGUGAGGGGAGAGAUUGUUUUCAUGAAACAAAUCCUGAUCAUCAAGAUCUUGAAUUUGAUUGUAGAAAUUAUGAAUAUAAAUAUAUAGUCAUUUAGCAUAAGGUCUUCAACUUGAUUUAGAUUUGAACUUUUCAACAUUGGAAAAGGUGGAAGAGAAAGAAAAAGGUUUACUUGUUUUGUUAUUAUGUGUUCAAAAAGCAUCCCAAAGUCAUAUUAGGAAAAAAUAUAUAAAAAGUAUUAACAUAAAUGGUAGAAAAUCAUGUUUCUCUCCCAAUGACCAGAGAGAAGAUUAAAAUACUUCAAACAACAUCAAAUUUAAUGAGGAAUUGACUUUAGAACAGAAAAUAAAAUCAUUUUUCUCAAAAAUCAACAAAUUUAUUUUGUAAAAUAAAAGGAAGAAAUGAGGGAUUAAAGAUCACUGAGAGAAGAAAAAAAACAUUUCACAAAAUAUUAAGGUCCCACCGAGAUUUGAACUCGUGUUACUGGAUUCAGAGUCCAAUGUCCUAACCACUAGACCAUGGGACCAGCUGUGAACGUUUUCAUACAAAAUAAUAUUAAUUAUAUAUUUAUAAAGCAUGCCUAAGGAGAAUCAGAUUCAGCUAAUGUAUUCUGUGGAUGUAACACCAAAACAAAUGGUUUGAUUUAGAAACAAUUUUUAUGUGCUAAUACCUGCAAAAGUCAUCUCCAUCAGCAAAAAGUUCCAAUAAUUGUUCAAAAAUGGAAUGGCUUAUUGCAUCACAAACACAUUCCCAGCGAAGAGACUCUAAUUUAUAUCCUAGCUCAUAUAUAUAAUAACUGAAGGCAAAUAAUGAACACAAUGAACAAACAUACUUGAGAACAAUGGAAUUUGCCUGCAGAAAGGAAAGGAGAAAACAAGAUGAUUGCUAUGGCAGAUGAUCUUGGGAUCUACAUUAGUGACUCAUCUGCAUAUUCUUUCUGAGAUGAAAUAUAAGUUUGAAGUUUAUAGUAUGCUGCAAAAGAUCUUUCGUUCUAAUUUUCUGAAGAAUAGAGAGUUAAGCUUGACUUAAUUUAACAGCCCGCAGAAGAACUUGAUGGAAAGGGCAUUGACAAAUAAGAAAAGCCAGGAGUUGGUCAUAAAUGUUCAAUUUGGAAUUACUAGAUGAGCACUCAAUUUUUCAAUACAUUAUAACAAAUCAAAGAGGAACACUGCAGAUUCUCACCUGGACACUAAUUCAUCCAAGCACUGGAAAUUUAUGUACAUAAAAUAAGUUGUUGUGUGAGACUGGCAUUCAAAAACAGAGUUUGUUAAAAAAAUGAACACUGAGCAAAACAAGGUAAGCCACCUAUUUUCUCCUAAGAAACCAUCAAAAUCAACAUUAAACUAAGGUAACUUUACCCAAAACCUGGAGGCACAUCAGGGUCCUCAUCGCUGACACCAACUGGAAUGAUGGAAGAAUUAACCGGUGGACCAAAACCAGGUGGCACAGCAUCAAUCUGUUCUGGGUCAUUAAGCGCUUCAUUUGAUGAGUGUGGUUGCUCAUCAUGAAGCAUCAUAGCGUGUUCAACUUUGCUGCUUGGCUGAUCAGUUGAACAAAAUCCUGGCGGUACUUCCAUUUGUUCAUUUCCAUCAGACACAUUCGUCUCACAUGUAGAAGGUGCUACGAGAGAAGCUUGAUCCUUUUCGUCACCAACAAGUAGUCUUUUUUGAGGAGAAACGCUGUCUUGUUUAUUCACUUCUGGUUUAACAAUUCUAUCAUAUACAGACUCCACAGUACCUCUAAUAUCAUUUUCACAUGAUUUGAUAACCUUCCACACCUCAUCUGAAAUUUGUCCCAUGAUUUUGCUUCUGCAGAAAUAGUACUUUGUCAUAUCAGUUGCAGAUGGCAGCCUCAGAGCUCAGAACUCUCACUUCAAGAAUUACAUAGUGUCAUAAUACAAUAUAAACUAGUGAUGAUCAACUUAUAGUUGUUCGAUGCUUACCCAAGCUCUUGAUAAAUAGCAUCAGAAAGUUGUCUUAGCUUCAAUUUCUCAGAACCAUCUUCAUUAAGUACCAUUGAUUGUCUCACCUCGGAUACAAUGCUGCUACGCAGUUCCUCCUGUAAAAAAUACCACAUUCAGCUACAGCUACAUAAAUAUAUUAAUUAAUAAAAAUUAUAUAACAAACAAAAUAUCAUAGAAACUAGUACUACGAGUUCACAAUGUCAGUUGCAAACAUCUCAUAAUUCCAACAAUGGUAAUAGAUACAUGGAUCAAGCCCAACCUCCAUAAUUGGAUUGUCAUGCAAAAGUAUUAGUUGUAUGCAAAUGAUAAAUUUUGACACCAGUAAAGGACAUUAUUAUAGUCAUGGCUUCUACCACUAUGGAAUCUAGGAAAAAUUAGCGGUAUGAAGCUUUAGCCUCAUAUAAAGAGGUUAAAUUCUGCAGACACAAGAAAAAAGAGACACAAUUAAGAUUGCCUUGAUAUAAGAUGAAAAACAAAUAAUUAGUUGUUGCUCUACCAUCCUAGGACUCAGAAGUUCUGAUCUUAGAGAGAGCAAUGAAGUGGGUGUAAAAACAAACUAGAAGUACAUUUAAGGGAGCAAUCAAGUGGCUAUGGUGACAAUGUUCCUAGUAGAUCAUGUGUGUCCAACUUGGAUCUCAAUGCAGUUUCAUAUGAUGCAAAAUCAGUAACCUCUCGUUAGUCAUGACAAGUCAAGAAUAAUAUAUAACUUGAUAAAAGGUACUGUUAAGCUAAAUGAACAAACAAAUUAACUUAAUUCUAAAAGAACUCAGGUUAGCUAAACACCUUAGUCGACCAUGUUAACAUGGCUGCUUCUAGUAUUCUCUUCAGUUUCAUGUUCUCAUCUAUUCUUUAACAUCUCACCAUUGUCCAAGCCCAAAAAUUAUCAUUCAGCACAUAUCAAAGGGCAUCCACAACAUUUUAAAAACAUAUUUUUUUAUUACUAGAGUUUAUUAGCAUUUUAAUAUUAUAUAAUACAAUAAACAACGAACGUUAGGAUCUGGAAGCAAAGAACUUGCAACAACUUUUUCAAGAAAAAAAUAAAUUAAUCAGCAACAGAAAAAUGCUUUAUUAAACAUAUCCGAUUCUAACAGCUUACUCUAUGAAUUUAACUAGUUUAAAACAACAAAAGAAUGAAACCAAUAACAACAACUUAGAGUUGCAUGCCAAAUUUGAUCUAAAAUCCUUUCAAGACUGCUAGUUGCCUGUCGUUCCAAUGUCCAGAUGAUGUUAGGACAUCAACAAUAUAAAUAUAAUACAUGAAUAUCUUCCACAUGAUUAUAAGAGUUACCAUCGACUUCUGGCACUCAUAAACAAACUACCCCAGGGCAAUUAUAUCAGUCCCAACUAUUUUCUGAUACAAUACAGUUAAAUCAAAACCUACCUAAUUGAAUAGCUAUUUUAAUAUGGGUAAUUGCUUGAAACAGCUAGGGCAUUAUGCAUAAGGGACCUCCUCAUUUCCAAGGUCUGAUGUUUCUAUGCCCUAAAAAUAUCUUCACUGCCAUCAUUUGUUCUCCUACUCUCCAUUUGUUUUAUCUUUCUUCCAAAGCUCUUCUUAGAGCAUUUUCUUCCCCAAUCUGUGAGUCAUACUAACUUAAGCAUGGAGGAGGAUCCCGCCAAGCACAACCGCGGUGCUAGUACAAAGUGUCCUAGCAAUGAAAAAGCUUACUACACGCCCUUGUUGGCACUUGGCGCCACCAAAGCUUCUUCCAAGAUCAACUCCAUGUCACAUUCAAGAGCUUCCUAAGCAUCACAAAACCUCAUGAAACAAUUUUCCGGAACAGUUCCAUGUUUGGCAAUGAAUAAAGCAGAUGCGAAUUGGAGAAAGUUCCGCUUCACAUCAACGAAGGGAUCAGAGGUGGCAAUUUGAUGAAAAACCAAACAAUGCCAAACUCAUACAAUUCUCAUCCAAUAAUGAAGAAAAGGCGCACAAAAGGAAGAAUCUUUCGGCAAACUCACAUUUUCUUUAACUUUGCGGAUGAUCUUGAGACGGAGGGAGUCGAAGUCACCGUCAUCCUUCAGCCUCGCGAUCACCUCCUCCGCAGUCGGCCGCCUUUCGCCGUUCUCCAUACACCCGUCUCCCCGAUCUCAACCACGGUCGGACAGAUCGAAACCCUAAUUUCCUCCGAUCCCAAGAGGCCUCUUUUAACGAUCUCACUCCGACUCCGGGAGAGUCAAGGAUCCGCUGCAGUCAUACGACGGAGGCUAUACUAAUCGAAGCGAGCCCGGUCCAGUAACAUCUGGACCGGACCAAAUGAAGGCCCGCUUCCUUGGAAUUUUAAGAACCCCAAAUAAAGGCCUGAUUCGAGACGAUCCUACAAUUGGCUACCGAAACCAUGCUACGUAACAUGGUCGAUCAAACGAUGUCAAUUAAUGCACCGAUGACGAGAGCAUUCCAGAUCUACAAAUCUACCACAGCAAAGCGCGGGUCCCACCAGAGUCCACAUCACCCGAGCAACUUAUCCAUGGUGACUAACGCUCGCACGUAACCCUUGAAAAAAGAGUCUUGGAGCACUUGUGUAACCUCAACGAUCCAUUACUGCACUUAUCUUGUGGACGUUGCACUCGAUCGAUCGAAUCGAACUGAGUAAUAAAAGAAAUCCAAGAUUAAUUAGGAUGCAAGCAAACUAGUGCAAAUCCAUCUGCUGAUUCAUCAUCAACUUCAACCAUCAGUCAAAAAGAUGGGUAAUGAUCAGCAAUGCACCAAACAUUCUUGUUAUAUAUGUAUUCAUCUGAGCACUAAAUCACCUACAGAAACUAGCAGAUGUAGCCCUCGUUUAUCAUGCUGAGGAUCUCAGUGUUCAACCCUUUUCCAUCAAGCUACCAGUAUUCUUCAUUCCACUGUCAACCUGAGAUGGUGUCUUGAGCACCCUAGCUAUGAAUCUAGCUCAACAAUGUCGAUUGCAUCUGGUUCUUUUCAUACAUAUAGUCUUAGCAGCCAUAGUCUCCCAAGCAAUUCAACAAUGACUUGGUCACAAACAAAUCCAUCAAAAUCUCACAGAAUCUAAAAAGGAUUUUAAGUAUUGACUGGCCAGUUUAGACAAUUGAACCCACUACUACUACUCCCACUGAUAAAUGUCAUCCAACCUUGUAGAUUUCCACAGGUGGCAUGUGUCCCACCCUUACUGUCAAUUAAUGACAGCUUGAACCGAUCAUAAUUCUCUUCAUAUCUUUGUGAAAUUUCAUGCAAUAACUGGAUCAUAAGAAUGUUUGUUACAGCCAAGUUUCUCGUCUUUGUUAGCAUGCAGAUCAGCCAAAUUAAGGCUUAAGCUAAUAGAUGCAACAGGAUAUGUCAUUAUCUUUGUGCACCCAAAGAAAAAGUGUUUCUUUUUGGUACAAGCCAAAGUGGUGUUCUACUAGAGCUCUACGUCAUGAGUGGAUUCUUCUACCCAUAUAAGAAGAAGAAGAAGAAGAAGAAAGCUCAAGGACAUCAUCAUAUCUUGAGAAGAUUCCACCUCUACCAAGGUAGACAAAGACUUGACACACAUAAAGAAACAUGUCACACCAUGAGAGCACUACAUUGGAUGUAAACCGGCAAAGGAGACCCCAUGUUUUGAGCAGGAAACAUGCAGCUGGGAUAAAACAGAUGCUUCUCCCCCAAACUGCUGCAAAGUAGAAUGUAAAGGAUUUCUUGUUCGGUCCCCAAGGAAGAUUUCUUCUGAACAGGUAACCUAGCACACAAUGCUGACUGCUGAGGACAAGCAGACCUAUGAGGACAAGAAUGGGGCAGGCAUGUGGCCGUCGCUAGCACACAGGAACAAGAUUGCUGAAUCCUAAUCCACAAAACCAUGGUUACUUGCAUGAUAAGCUUAUAUAUUCUUACACACAACCCCACAUGGAGUGUUGCUGACUUUACAGACACAAGAAGAAGAUGGUGGUGUUUUAGUGGCCAUGCUGUUUGGUUGGGAGUUGGGAGUUGGGAGUUGCUUUAGUUACUGAAACUCACAAGGUGUGCAGAGAAAGUGAAGAUGCAAUGCAUUCUCUCCAAACAAUGAUGUAAAAGCCUUAGUGUGUUUGGAUAAUUAGAGUUCAAAUGCUGUUGGACAUAGCACUAUUUAUUCUAUUAUUUUGUUGGUGGCCCUUACUGAAAUCAUAUUGUCCUUCAAACAAGUAGCAAUCAAUGUGCAACAACUUUUUUUGUCACAUUUCAUUAAGAUAGAGCUAAAAAAUAUAGCUUAUCAUCACUCCCUAAAAAUGAAAUAUGCAUGAGUGAGGAGGUGCAGAUCAUAUCUCACAUUUCAAAAUUUAAAAAAGAGACUCUCAUGCAUCUCUGUCAUUCUCUUUUUUUAUCUGACUUUUUAUCUAAAAUUUUUCAUCCUACACAUAACACUAUAUAUAUAUAUAUAUAUAUAUAUAUAUAUAGAGAGAGAGAGAGAGAGAGAGAGAGAGAGAGAGAGAUCUUGACGUCACUUUCAGCCCGACGCACGUCAAGCCCUCACAUCAACCAUGCAAAUCAAGAGUGAUGAUAUAAAUAAUGCUAUUAGUUUCUUUCUCGGUUCAUGCAAAAAGGUUCUUUUUACAAUGGAUCAAAUAACUCGAUUUUGCAUGGAAGAUUGUGGUGCAUUAGUACACAAAUGUCAAUAUUUAGAAAAUGUUACAUCCUACAUCCACGGAUGGGUUCUAUUCUAUCUGUUGUGUUAAAUAGGUUCUAUUAUCUCUAAUGUAGUUUAAGAUGGAUUUGAUAGAAAAAUAGGUUUCAAGUAUCAGAUUCAUAUAUGACAAAGUUAAUAGAUAUCUUAUAUGUUGUUAAAUGAUAAUGGUAGUGAAUAAGAAUAUUUUUUUGUAUAUUUGGGUUUAAUAUCUGACCACUUUAAUCAUAUUACAAUAUCUUUCGAUUGAGUUGGGUUUCAUUCCUAAUCUAAAUAGUUAUUCAAUCAGGUUUGAGUUCGAGUUCGAGUUUGAGUUUAGGUUUGGAUGAAUCUACUAGGCGCUUUCUCUUAAAUAUAAGUGUUGCGUUCCCUAAUAUGUAUCCAAACACAUUAUAGAUAAAGUGGAUCUUACAAAACAACAUGCUAAGGCUUUGUUGAGCUUUAAUCUUCUUAGAGGUAUAUAUCAUGACUCUAGAUCAUGCAAAAAUCAUACAAAAUGGUCAUAUCCAUGUAUGUAUCAACACCACCACCAUGAGCUCAUUUGCCUAGGAGGAGGUUGAAAAUGAACAAGGCAAAUCCAUAGGAUCAGUGGUACUGGCUGAUAUUUAAGUUAUGUAGCACACUUUAUAGACAUGGAUAGCUAAGUAGCACCAAUAAUUGCGCCUCCAAGUACACAAAGGAUGUGUUAAAUGUGCCUUUAUCCAUUUGGUGCAAUCUUAUGGUAGGAAGUUGAUGAACAGUGGUAUCUGUCCAAGGUUUGCCUCUUUGUGGAUCACCAGUGAAGCAUGACAAAGUGGUGCAACAGUAGCUUCAAAGCAUGCAUUGUGCAUGGUUUGCACAUAGGAAGGAAAUUGGCAAGGACACGCUUCAUUGAUGAUUUCCUCCAUGUCUCCUUCCCAAGAGACAUCCCUAACUAAAGAAAGAAAUGAAUAGGAUUCCCACUCUUGCUUCUCAAUUCUUAUAUUCAUGCACACUUAGAUCAUACAACAUAUAUAUUAUACAUGUGAUAUUUAUCGAUACUGCAGUUCUCGGUAGCUUGGUAAAUGUCCUGUAUCAUUCUGGUAUAAGAUGGUACAAGUAUUGUACUAUAUAUUUUUUCAAUCUGUUUUUAUGAUUUUUCUAAAACUCGAUGCGUACUAAUAUGACGAUGUUUUGUAGAUCGAUAUGUGCCGAUAUUGAUAUUGGUUCAAGUCUUGAUCCAUAUUAAAUUAUGAACUUCGAUAUAUAUAUAUUGAAUUGGAUCACUAGACCUGUAUAACUAGUUCAAACUAUCAUAGACAUCAAGUUUAUUUUUCUGUGCAUGGUUAAUUUUGUAUUGGAGAAUCUAACAAAUAUUCACUUGUUGCAAAUAUUUUUUUCUAAUCUUUGGCAACUUGAUCGAUUAUUCCCGAAUGACCAACCUGUGACUACGUUUCCAGGCAUUAGGUACAGAUUAGAUGUCACCUCGCAAGCUACGCAUAGACUUGAAGAGGGAGAAACAAAUCAGACAAGCUUUUACCUAUCAAUCUAUCAAAUCACAGGUCACAAGUCGGCAUCCGACAAGGUUACAAGCAUGCCUGUAUCUUAAGAGUUGGUCUCUCAGUGCUCAUAUAUGUUUAAGGAGUUGAUGCCUAGGGCUAUUGCUGCAACUUCUCCUGUGGCCAACAACACUUUGCUCACUCCAAGGUGUCCUCUAUGCUCUAUUCAAGGCCAUCAAUGUCGCAACUUAGUUGCCCUUUAACUAGCACUGCCAUGAUGAGAUGCUAAGCAAUGCCACAUCCUAAUCAAAGGCAAAAGAAAGUAGAUUGUUCCUUGUAACCAGUAGAUUGUGAUUGUGCUUGGUCAUUGCUCUCCCCCACUUGCAUGAAAAGUGCAUCUAGAAAGUCAAUUAUAUGAUCUUGAAUUCUGAUUCUACUUUGUGAUGUUGCAUGUAUGGUAUUCAUAAUAGUAGCACAGUGGAAGUGGGAGUGAUCAUAGAACAUUAUAAAACCCAGCCAUCACAUUAUGGUCACUUGAUUAGUAAAUCAUGGAAUUAACAUCAUUAGAGGUGUGAGGGCGAAUAUACUUAAAACUCUAAAAGAAUAAAAGGAUAUGAGGGACUAAUAUGUAGAAAACCCUACGAAUAAUGGUAGUUUGAAUGGAACAUCAGUCACUUUGCAUGUUAUGUGCAAAUGAAAUGGUUCUUUAUAGGUUAUAUCAACUCUGAUCAUUAGAAGUUUUAAUGUUAUUUCUUCUCGCUUUAAUUGUCCUAACCUAAACCGUGGCCAGUUGCUCCUCCAACUCAAUAUUAUCAUUAUGGCUCCACAUAAGUGUGUGUAGGGCAUUGAUCUUACAAACAAUAAGGACAAUUGCUCCUGUAGAUGAAGUGGUGGCCUGAGGGCCAUAAAACUGCUCGACAUGGAUUCUGAAAGAACAAGAAAGUAUGAGCAAUGAGGAUUGAUUCAAACCAUGAUGGACAUCUCUGCUCCCUCCUCUUUUGCAUGUUGAUCCCUGUCCAUGUUUCAAGCAAGCAAGCAAGCCAACUGCAUCAGACAGAAGCCAUGAGGAGACUGCUUUGUCACUGAUUACCUCACUGGGUUCUCAUCGAUCUUUUUGCUCAGCAAUCCAAGAGUACUUGAUACUUGGCAUCUUUCACCAUCGGAUAUGUUAAUGUCACACCGCAAGUAUGGCCAUUGCUCUUAUCGGUUCAGCCUUAGGUUUGGUGCUCCUUGGAGAAAAGAACUUGCCUAAAUCUCUAUACCACAAACCGGUGUAGCUUUCCUUGGCAUGUAGCAUAUCUAGGCCAAAUCUUCCUAUGCUGAAGGAAGCUUCUAAGGAAUAUAGCCGGUGAAGAUUUGCACUUGAGGGACUAUUGGGAGACAAAGAGGGACCAUUCUAUUAUCUAUUACUAAUCUUCUUCUAAAACCUAAUCUGAGUGCAGCAUGUUGCCAAAGUGAUAAUUGUCAGCUAAGAAGGUCGAACUCAAAAUUAACCUUAAACUUAUGUUAAGUUUGUAAUGACUUGUUCCUACAUGUUUAAGUUGUAAGAAGAUGGUAUCCUAACUAUCGAUGUAGUAAUGACUUAUGUUAAGAUGGUAUCUUCAUAAACAUUAGCGUAAAUACAGUAUUUUUUUUCCUUUUAGAAAUAUAAAACCAAAAGCAAACAAAAUGCUUUCUUUUUUUAAGAUAAUUGAAGAAAAAUAACUCUCAAGUAGUCCUUUUUUGUUGUUAUUAAAAGGAAAUUGUUGAUUGAGGAAUUCCUGAGGUGAUGUGAUCUCUCACAGUCUGAUCCGAUAUGACUCGCAAAUAUCGACAACUUUUGUAGGUCGAUUCAUUCGAUCUAAAUACAUGUCUUCAACAAGAUGUACCACAUGAGGAAAACCCUAGCUAGCUGGGAUACUGGACCCACAGCUAGGUCACAUGAUGUGUGGUGAUGAUUCUCUCAUCAGGAAAACAGGAAAAUAUGAUGAGAGAUUUGGUCACCAGUCACCUCAGCAUUCGAUGCCUACUCAUCGCAGAUCUGAUAGCUCACACAAGCCUCAGGAGUGACAUGGAUGCUGUACUGGAUUCCCAGCAUGUGAGUAUCCUUUGAGAGAACAGGCAAAGCUUUAGAGUGGCUCUCCCGCAGAGAAUCUAGCAAAAAAUCUUGUUUGAAGACAUUAGAAGUUGACUUCUGGCUCUGCCAAUCCAGUUGAUGAGACACCAUAUAUGUCAACCCACAAAUAAGUUUCUUUUUGUUUUUGCUUUUGGCAGUAGAACACUAAUAAAUAUGUUGAAUGAAUGAAUCCAACGUGAAUGAAUGCAUCAAGCUGAAUUGGUUCCAAUAUGGAAAGACAUCCUAUGUGUAAAAAGUGAUUUGACGGGCAAGAUUAAUCAUGAUUAAUACGAUAUCAAAUAACUUAGUUGAUAAAGAUCUUAAUUAUUGAUAAUAAGAUCGAAGAUAAAAUUAAAUGUACACAACUUAUUAUUUCUAAUAAAAUUAAUAAAUUUUAUUAUGAUGACCAAAACUAGACUAGAACACUUGAUUUGAUAAAGAAAAGAGAGAAGUUUGCUUUAGCAAAUUGAGAAAAAGGGAAUGAGGUCACACAUUAAAAGAAUAAAUUAGAAAGAUGCAAAGUUAUGAGUUUGAAUUUAAGAAAAUUAAAUGCAAUUGCCCGACGCAAUCCAACCCUAACUCGAAUCAUAUGAUAUAUGGAUUCGAAAUGGUGUUAGAUUCCAAUCACUCCGAAAAUUCAAUGCGAGUUUGGAUUUAAUUCAUAAUGCUGACUUGAAUAUAACUGUAAUAUAUUUCUAAACUUAGAUUAGGUAAAAAAUAUACUAUCAUGUAAAUUCAUAUAAAAGACUAUGGAUAUCCAGCAGAAUAUGCUACGUGCAUGAUGAUAUUUUUUAUAGUAGUUUGAUUGCCCAUUGAAUUUAUUAUUUUUUUAUUAUUAUUUAUUAUUAUUAUUAUGUGAGUAUUUUUUUUUUAAAAGCUUACUAUUUAGAACCUUUUUACUAUUGACAAUUACCUUAUUAUUAAUAACUUUUUUAAAAAAUAAAUAAAUAAUAUUUUAUUAUUUAUAGCCUCACUAAUUUUAAUUUUAUAUUUUUUUUUUCUUUCCCCACAAUCGUUGCUUGUGCACCUGUUGUCAUUGUUGGUCUCCCAGCUCAUACUCCUUAUCGAUAAUCACUGCCACUUAACUCUUGUUUCUUGUCAUCGAUCAUUACCUCUCAACUCGUGCUUCGAUAUCACUCGACCCCACUCAUUGCCCCUUCAACAUAGUCCUCAAAGGAGGAAGAAGAUGACGAGUACGAGGAGGAAAAAAAAUUAUUUUAUUUUUUUAUAAAAAAAAUUUAAAAAUAAAAUAAAAUUAUAAAUAGUAAAGAGAGGGUUGUACAUAAUAAUAUCCUUUUUAUCCUAACAAAUCUUAAUUGAAAUUUUUUUUUUCUUUUUUUUACCUUAGAUCCAAUGCACAACAUAUAGAAUCUGUAUUAUUUCAGUAUCGAUUGUUAAUUUAUUGGAUAUAAACACCACCUUGUAGAGAAACUUGAUGAAAAAGAAAUUUCUUAAAAAUUAAUAAUUAUAAUAUUCUAUAAAUACUUUUUUUAAGGUUUGAUGCAUAUAUUAAACUAAAAAAAACUCUAGGAACGCUUAGAAUUUUAAUUUUCCAAUAAAUCCAACGAAAUAAAAAAAAAUCUCAUGUUCCGAUUUGGAGUAAUUCGAUAGAGGAUUUAUGUUAGUAGUCCAUUAUUCUUGAUUAUAUAUUUAUUUAUUAUUGAUCAUCUUAAUUAUUCUUUUGAACCGAACAUUGACUUGUUGACCAAUGAUUUAAGGAACAGAGACGGUGGGGGAAGUCAACAAAAACCAAGUCAACUUCCCAUUUGCCCAUGUGCUUCCUACCUCUUCUCUUUUUGGUUACUUCUUUUUACAGCCCCCUCUCUCUGUUCUUGUGCUCACACCACAAAGGAGGCGGCAUCAUCCGAUCUCUGGGUUUCGUCCUCCGUAUCUUUGACAAUGACCAACAUGCGUCCCCAAACCUAUCGCCAAGAUCUCCUCUGCACCCUUCUCAGGCUGCUGCUUUCGCACACCCAUCCCUCUCCUUUCUCCUCCCCUCCCUCGUUAUAAAUACUCCCCACCUCCCUCUCUUCUCCUCUCGACACUCUAAUCAAUGGCUCUGCCAAACAUCAGCCACCUGCCACCAUCCUUCAUCGUGGCUGUCUCCCUCGUGACCAGCCUCAUCUCCAUAGUCGGCCAGCUCAGGCCAUGGCCGCCCACCCUUCCUCAGGGCCUCCUCACCCUCGACAUCGCUGGUGAGGUCCUUCUCGACCCCGACGCCACCGCCGGAUUCUCCACCGACUUCGGCUGCCUCGCUCGGGCCGCCCCUGCCGCCGUUCUCCGCCCCUCGGCCCCCGACGACAUCGCCGCCCUCGUCCGGUUCUCCUACUCCUCCCCUCAGCCUUUCGCCAUCGCCGCCCGGGGCCACGGCCACUCCAUCAGGGGCCAGGCCCUUGCACCCGGCGGCGUGGUCGUCGACAUGGCGUCCUUGGGCCACGGCCGCGCUGACCGGAUCAGCGUGUCGUUCGAUAAUGCGCCGCUGGUCUGGUACGUCGACGCCGGAGGCGAGCAGCUCUGGAUCGACGUCUUGCAUGAGACGCUCAAGCAUGGCCUCGCCCCCCGCUCGUGGACUGAUUACCUCUAUCUGACGGUAGGUGGCACUCUGUCGAACGCCGGCGUGAGCGGCCAGGCCUUCCGUCACGGUCCGCAGAUUUCCAACGUCUACGAGUUGGAUGUCAUCACCGGUAAGUAAGACGAUUCUCAUCUUUAUUAGGAGGAGAAUACCAGCAACCAGCGGUCUUGGAUCACUGUUACAAUUAAUCGUACUCGAUGUUUGCUUCUUGAACAGGGAAAGGUGAGAUGAUAACCUGCUCACAUGAGAACAAGUCGGACCUAUUCUAUGGGGUCUUAGGAGGACUCGGCCAAUUCGGCAUCAUUACCCGAGCUCGAAUCGCCUUAGAGCCAGCGCCGCAGCGGGUCCGGUGGGUGCGGCUCAUCUACACUCACUUCGUCUCCUUCUCCAGGGACCAGGAGCUUCUGAUCUCCAUGAUGGACCAAGGCUUCGACUACGUCGAGGGAUCGCUGCUGAUGGACCACACCCUAAUCACCAACUGGAGGUCUUCCUUCUUCUCCAAGACGAACUCGGAGAAGAUAAGAGGGCUGGCGGCCGAGUUCGGCGCCAUCUACUGCUUGGAAGGAGCUGUAUACUACCACGAGUUAGCCAUGGCGUCUCGGGUGGAUCAGGUAAAAGUACCGCUGCUGCUUUCCUAUCUAUCCCAUGCAACCUGUUGGCUUGUACCCAUCGUGAUAUCUUCCUAGGACCCACGUGGCUCUCCCUACUGAGAUCCCCCAACCUUGUUCCUCUCUCCCACAGUACCAAGGACUAUGACCCAUUCAGAGCUGUAACCCAUCUCAGCCCUCAUGCUUGUGUUCUCAAACAUGGGUGUCCCUGUUGGAUGUUGCUGCAUGCACCCCUCGCUCAGCUCUCUCUCUCUCUCUCUCUUGUGUUGCACAUUUGCAGCCCUCACUGACCCAUUAUUAUUGCGGUAGUUAACCAAACUGCCACAAGGUCGUGACAUGUUUCCACGCCUGUGGGCAUAGCUUUUGACCUUGGCACAGGGGUAGUUUGUCAUCUCUAUCACUGACACUGCUCGCUCCUUGACAGAAGCUCCAUCUGCUGCUCCAACGGCUGAGCUUUGUCCCCGGUUUCGCCUUCACCAACGACGUCUCCUACGUCGGCUUCCUGGACCGAGUUCACGAUGGGGAGGUGAAGCUACGCUCCAUGGGGCUUUGGGAGGUUCCUCACCCAUGGCUCAACAUAUUCGUGCCCAAGUCCAGAAUACAAGACUUCGAGGUUGGGGUCUUUAAGGGCAUCCUCAUGCCCAAUAAUUCCACGGGACCAGUGCUGAUAUACCCCAUGAUCAAGAACAAGUAUGCGGAGUUCAUGUCUUCUUCUUCCCUUACUCAACGGGUGGUUAUUUAUUGUGUGUACUAACGGGGAAGAUGCAUGUAUGUUGUGCAGGUGGCACGAUGAGAUGUCGGCUGUGACCCCCGAUGAAGAAGUCUUCUACUCCAUCGGCCUGCUGCGAUCGGCCAUUACCGAUGAUUGGCAAGAUUUGGACAACCAGAACGAUGAUAUAUUGGGGUUCUGCCAUCGAGAAGGAAUCCAGUUCAAGCAAUACUUGCCUCAUUACGCAUCACAGCGAGAUUGGAAGAACCACUUUGGCCGCAAAUGGGAUACGUUUGUAGAGAUGAAGAGGAGAUACGACCCCAAGGCACUCUUAUCACCAGGACAACGUAUAUUUACGUCCUCCCUCACAGAUCACGUCUAGGAGUAACCAUGUCUUGUGUUUACAUUGUAAUCAAAGCUUCAUGACAGUACUUGACUGCCAUGGCCGCCCUUCGUUGUUAGCAUGCCUUGGUCUUGAUCAUAAAGCAGGAAAGUGAUAGGAUUGGUGGGUUGCAAACAGCAUUGGGUCUGCUCUGAAGAAAUGGAAGGACCUCGUUUCACACAGACUGUUAUGAUGUCCUUCCUGUGCGGGUUGGACCACUACUGUUGGCAUCACCAUAGAUUGUGCCAAAGAUCCAAGCAGAUCUUGGGCGAAGAGACCAGAGAUUUGCGAACGCAUCAAUGGAUUCUCCCGGGUUCAGACAUGCCAAAACUGAUGAACGUACGGUUCUCAGUUCGAAUGGGGACAACAUAAAGUAUUUCUCCCACCCUUUUAUUAAUGCCAAAUUGAUCUUUAAACUAUGCUUCGAAGAGAAGAAUGAAUUAUAGUGACAGUCAAAACAGGGUUUCCAUUAAUUCUCCUUUUUGCUAAUUGAGCUGUGGCCGAUUGCCACUUGCGUGCUUGACUCAACAAAACACAUUCUCCUCCUCAAAUCAUUUUCAUUUUCUUAUCAUCGAGAAACAUUACUUGACUCAUCAAAACACAUUGAGCCUUAACCCAUGAGCACUGUCCUUUACUUGUGCUUCUCACAUGGUGUGAGGACGGAAUACCUAUCCAUAUCGAAAGUUAUUGAUUUAAAGUGAUCUAAUGGAAAUUUUGUAUAGUUUUGGAAUCCUAAGACUGCACUACUUAUAAUAUAACUUUGGUUCGAGAGUCCAAUGAUGAGAGAUACAUAUUAUUAUUCUAUAUAAUUAGAAAAUAUUUACGCAUGAGAGAGAUUAAAAUUAAAAAUAUUAAAAGAAUAAAAAUAAUAUAUAUUGAGUUUCAUCCACAAUUAAUAUACGUAUUAUUCACCUUGAUAAAAAUAUAUCUUUUCAUCGACUUGAGCGUAAAGUGACUCUCGUCCUCAUGAUGUGGUAAAAGCCAACAAGACUUUGUACACAACAUUAUAAGCUAAUUCCGAGUUAAUAACAAUCUAAUUAAUCAAAAGCAGUCAAACAUGAUCUAAUUAAAGCGGAUCUGAUCACAGAAGCUUUGUUCCAAAUUAUAAGCUACCCCUGCAUGUCAGGAGGGCCUAACAACCACAAGAUCUAUGAGAGAUUCUCAUCACUUAUUAGUGGUCGGUGUAACAACGACCUUUUUCAUACAGCAUGGAUGCGAGACUAACGUGUCUCAUUUUGACAUGUCAAUUCUUGAAUUAUUUGUCAUGACUUAAAUCACAAUACAUUCAUCGAUUUUGUAUUCAUGCUGACUCGAGAACACAAUAAUUAUAGUCGUCUACAUGAAAAUCGAUGUAUGUAUUCCGAAAUGAAUCCUUGUUGAUUGUUUUUAUUUGAUAUCUAAAUUGAUGAUUAUAUUUAUAAAGGCAUUGAACAAUUAAUCAUUUUUAAUUUUUUUAAUUUAUGUGGAUUUAUAUAACAUUUUGAUGAGCAAUUGAAGGGGGAGGAAGGGAGUAAUUUACUUAGUUAGUACGCCCAGAUGUGAUCUUUCGAUAAGACCAGAAAUAUAUGAGGAAGGAACACGCAACUGUUAGGUUAGAUCGAUUAGGUGGCCAACCAAAUCAAGGUACAAAGAUUGGGUCCGGUGAGUCCCAAUUAACGUGCCAAAUGUGCUUGUUGCAAACACUCAAAGAUAAUGCCAGAAUCCAAAUUCCUCCAAGUUCAAGAUCGAGUAUCCAAGCUUUCACAUCAAUCCAUCGCUCCACGUCAUCGUCAAAGCCCGACUCCAGCUCGACAACGUUGCCUCCCUCCUGUUCUCUUGAGACUUGGCCUCAGCAGCCACAAUCCCAUCAAGAUUUGGUCAGCACCAAAUCCAUCCAAAAUCUCAGGGAAUCUAACCAAGAUGUAACUGUCGACCCAACAUAUUGUCGUAGAUUUAGACGAUUACCAUGCCAAUCUCUACGCGCACCGGUACAAUGGAUAAACACUGCUAUAAAUUUGCACUCAAAAUUGCAUGAGCCGAUCACAUUUCUCUUUCGAAAUCUUUGCGGCAUUUCGCCUCUCUUUAUCACGAUGAUGGAUUUGCCGAACAGCUAUUGGCGAGAUGGGAUCAUAUAUAUGGGUACAAGUCAAUCUACAGAUAUCCAUCUAAAUUCCAAAUCAUGUCAACGAAAUUUGGAGCAGCUGAUAAGAUUUCCACGGCUGCAAUGUGCUACCGAAACUCGAGGAAUGGUGCAUGAUAUACGUCAUGAAAGGACUCGUAUCUUCGUGCUGACCCACAAAAGAUUAGGGAGCCAUGGAGGACAUGAAGUGAUAUGUGGGGAUUCUCCUUGUUGUUCCCGGAGACUUGAAGAAACUACUGUUUCGGGGAGGGGGAGGGUUGACUGCAUCAGAUGCUUUCUACGGGGUUCCAACGACGUGAGUGAUUAAGUGGUGUUAGGAGUUCAAUGUAGCCAACAUAAUCAAGUUUUUAUUAGCUAAACAUAUAAAUAAUAAUAAUAAUUAGAUGAUUUUAACGACUGAUCAAUACUUUAAACGUUAGAAAUAAUCGCAUAAACCCUUAUGUCUAAUUAAUAUAUAUGAAAAAUUGUCAGAUGAUAUACAUAUGUAUAAUGUGAAUGGAAUUAUGGGUUUGUGGAAGCGUGCACGACAACAUAGCUUUCAUUGACAAAGUCACUUCUGACACAAAUUUUAACUUUUAGUGAUAAAAAUUAUCAUCGAAGUCGAGAGUAUAUGUUGGAAAAAGAUUCAUAUAUGAUGAGAUAGAGAUGGAUUAGAAAUUAUUUAAAGGAUUAAAGAAUCUCAUUAUCUAUAUUGGACUUGGUAUUAUGAAGUCCAGACAGGACUCCGCUGACGUGAUAAGCGACCCACCAGGGGUCCACCGGUGUGUUCCCCGUUGGCGAAGCCGGUGGCGUUGGGGCCCUCCCCGUCCUGCGUGAAAGUUACGGCGCUCCGCUGUGACGCAAAGCACGACUUAGAGACACGAGGAUCACUAGUCAGCUAGCCGGCCCCACCAUCUCGGGUUCCACGUCAUGUGAAGCACGUCUCGGACGGGACGCAGCUUGCCAUCUGUCUACAAAAAUUAGUCAAUCUGAUGGUUGAGAUUAAUCCCGCUGGGCGGCCGGCCCCACAUAUUACUCCUCCAAACAUCGGUCGACACGUCGCAUAGAUAGUAAACUGUUUCGUGUUUUUCGUAUAUGACGUGAUGCCUUGCGUAACACGAGGCGGACGAUAAUUUCAAACCGGGCCCACCGUGCAUCUGCUCGAUCUGAUAAUGUGAAGUCAGAUUUGGCCAGCUUUAACGGCAGAAUGGAUCGAGAUUGGAAUACAUGCACGAACGAGAUCAAAUUACAUCAUAGGCGAAGAGUCCUGUUAUGUUUCCGGCUGCGUCGUGAUGUGCAUGGUGGUAUGGGAGGGUUGGUGUGGGCUCCAAUCCCCUUCUCAAAGGAUCUUUGGUAUAUCUAAGUUGUCCCCCAGUUGUCUCAUUCAUAUUGCUCCUAUGAUGUUCCACAAGAAGACAGCUUGCGUCAUUUCCCAUCCCAGAUUGGUGUCAGCGAUUCCACGUACGUUUCGCCCUCACCAUCAUGCAUGCAAAUCAAAACUAUGCUAUCGGUACGUCCACUUGCCAUGUCUUUAUACGUAUACGUUUAUUUUUACCUGGACAGAUGCUGUACUAACAGCUCAGUCUAGUUUUUGGUUGUUUGUGAUGGUCCAGGGGCACGUAGUCAACACGGACACGCCAUGUUCAUUGUUAUGAGAUAGAACAAGAGCAGGGAGGAAAGGUGGCAUGCUUUUCAUGGUCUCGUUGGAGAUUGCAGGACAAGCCCAGACAAACUGUAAAGAGUUCAUUCCGAUGAAUCUACCCAGCUAUUCGAUUUGAGACUGAUGUAUGCAAACUAUCCGCUCAUGUGGACAUCCCAUACGUACGCAUUCCCCAUGCAUGAAGACAAGCAAAUCUUUCGGCUGGGCCAUUUCACUGGGAUGACGAUCUUUAUCUUAGAUUUUGUUGACCAAAUCGGCACGUGAAAUCAAGAAUUUUUGUGCAGGAUCUGAGAUAUUACUUGUCCACAUACACCGCUCUCCCCCUUCCUUCCCUUCUUCUCUUGUUAUAAAUAAGCCUGGGGUAUCGCAGGCCUAAUCACUUCACCUCCACCACUCAAGUCGCUGAGCAAAUGGCUUCGCGAAGAUUUAGUCACAUUACUACAGUAUUCCUCUUAACUAUCUAUCGUGCCAUAAGCCUUGUUUCUGUGGAUUUGCCGGACACCCUUCCACUUGGCCUCCUCGACCUUGAUAUCGUCGAUAAGAUCCAAUUAGAUCCCAACACCACCACACAAUUCUCCAUCGACUAUGGCCAGCUCAGUCAAGCCGCCCCGGCUGCCGUGUACUGUCCUUCGUCCCCCGAUGACAUCGCGGCCCUCGUCCGGUUCGCCUACACCUCCCCCCGGUACUUCACCAUCGCCGCCCGAGGCCGCGGCCACUCCGUACGAGGCCAGGCCUUCGCCCCCGGCGGCGUGGUGGUCGACAUGGCAUCCUUAGGCCGUGGCCGCGCCGACCGGAUCAAUGUGUCAUCGGAUGACGCGCCCCCGCGCUGGUACGUCGACGCCGGGGGCGAGCAACUCUGGAUCGACGUCCUGCAUGAAACCCUCAAGCACGGUCUUACUCCCCGCUCGUGGACUGAUUACCUUCACCUCACGGUCGGCGGCACGCUCUCGAACGCCGGCAUAAGUGGCCAGGCCUUCCGCCACGGCCCGCAGAUCUCCAACGUCUACGAAUUGGAUGUCAUCACCGGUACCACGUCCAUCUUUCCGGAACAUCCUAAGCAUAUACAAGCUUAAUUACUGUAACAGUUCUGCUGAGCGUAUGGUUCUCUAACAGGGAAAGGUGACAUGAUAACGUGCUCUCGUGAAGAGAACUCGGACCUAUUCUAUGGGGUCUUAGGAGGACUCGGCCAGUUCGGCAUCAUCACCAGAGCUCGGAUCUCCUUAGAGCCCGCACCACAGCGGGUCCGAUGGCUGCACCUCGUCUACACCAACUUCGACAUGUUCACGAGGGACCAAGAGAUGUUGAUCUCAAAGUUGGAGAAGGGAUUCGACUAUGUCGAGGGACGACUACUGAAGGGGAAGGAUGUUAGCAGUUCUUCUUUCAUCUCAGAAGAAGACUCGGAGAAGGUUAAAUUGCUCGCGGAUGAGUUCGGUGCCAUUUACCUCUUGGAAGGAGCUGUUUACUAUGAGCAAGCCACUGCAUCCAUGGUUUAUCAGGUAAACACCUAGAAACAUAUACAUAUAUCAUGGAAUCUAAUCUCUGUCAGAUGUUAUAAACUGAUUAUUACACGAAAUUUUAGUACAUAACUUUUGGAAGGAUAUCUUGUUGGCUUUGUUGCCGUCGUAUGUCCUUCCAGGAGUCACUGUUCAGAUACUAAGAUCGCCAUAAUUCUUCUCUCAUACAGAGUGGUAAAGACUGAAUGAUUCCUUGAUGCAUGCACGCACGCAAGCAGUCUCAUGCUUGUGCUUGUCUUGUUUCUAGUAUCAACACAGUGUCGAUUUGCUGUCAGGAGGUUGAAUCGCUGCUCAAACAGCUGAGCUUUGUGCCUGGCUUCGCCUUCACGAAGGACGUUUCCUACAUCGGCUUCCUCGACAGAGUUCACGAAGAGGACACAAAACAAAGCUCCACGGAGCAUGAGGACGUUCUCCAUCCAUGGUUCAACUUGUUCCUUCCCAAAUCCAGAAUACGAGACUUCGAAAGUGCGGUCUUCAAGGGAAUCCUUAAGAAUAACAAUCCCGUGGGACUAGUGUUGAUCUAUCCUUUUAACAAGAACAAGUACGUGGAACUCUCUUCUACCUUGGCCAAAAAGACGAAGGAUGACAUCUUUCAUACAUGCAUGACUGUGUUGCAGGUGGGACGAUAAGAUAUCGGCGGCGAUCCCGGACGAAGAAGAGGUUUUCUACACGAUAGGCCUGUUGCCAUCUGCGACGAGGGAAAACUGGGAGUACCUUGACAAGCAACACCAUGAAAUACUAAGCUUCUGCCAUCAGGAAGGGAUCGAGUUCAAGCAGUAUUUGCCUCGGUACGUCACAGAGACGGAUUGGAGGAAGCACUUCGGCCGUAAGUGGCAUGUGUUCGUUCAAUUGAAGAGGCAAUAUGACCCAAAAGCACUGCUGUCGCCAGGUCAACGUAUAUUUACCACCCCGUUGUAGAUUGUGUCGUGCAGUAACUCACUGCUCGCAUGCAUGCAUGCGGUGGCAAGCUACGUAGCACAGGUUUCAUCAUGUAAACAGCUAUCUCGUAUGUAUGAUAAGAAAACUAGCUAUAUAUAAGAAGAAUCAUCGUGUCAGUGAACAAUGAAACACAGCUUAUAAUAUUGCAGUUGGUCGAGUAAAACGAAGUAUUGGUUGGCGUCGAUGGACUGAAACAAUGGUCAACAUAGUGAAUCCAACACGAGAUCUACUUCAAUAAUUGGUGGUUUUUUUUAUGCAUGGAUUAAUGAUAUCACACGUAAAAUUGAGUACAUCACGGUUUCUUUUCAACAAAAGAUUCAUGAAGAUCUUGGAGAAACAGCGACAAGAUUUGCUGAUACAUCAGUGGAUUUUCUCCUUCUGUCGCGACAGUAAUAGGUGCUAUUGUCUAUUAUCUCAUAUUGUUCUCCUUCUUAAUAUGCAAACCAUGGUCAAUUUUUACUAUGCAUGGUUUCACAUACUAUUUAGCUUUGAUACUUUUAGUCGACAUGUAUUAACUGUGGACAUAAACCGGAAAUAACUUCCAUCCAAUUAAGUGAUAGAGAUUGCAGAGAAAGGAUCGAGGUUUUAUGGUUCCUACAUAAUUAAGAUUAAACCAGCUAAAUUCUUCUAUAACAAUAAUAAAUACUAAUUAAGAUGAUGAUGAGGACAAUAAUAAUAAUAAUCAAUAUUAAAGACCUUAAUUCUUCAAGUAUUAUUUUUGGCUUCCUUGACAUGUUCCAUAAGUUGGCUUAAGUAUCGGAUACUUCCAUGUUAACUAAAACUUUCUUGUACAUGCACCACCGGUUAGUGAUACUGUAUCGAGUUUCCUUAUAUAGUUGACAUUCGUAUUCUUUGUAUGAUACUUUGUAUGAUAUAUAACAUAUGACAUAGGACUUUAUAUAUAUGUUAGUAUUUCUAAGAAGUGUGUUCGUAUUCUUUAUCCCUUAUAAUAAUUUUCUAUUUUCGAAACUUGUGAUAUAGUUAAGGUUUUUUUAACGGUUUUGGUUACGGACAUCUUAAGUCCUUAUAGUUUACUUAUAUUUAAAAUAAUUUGUAUAUUUUUAAAAAUAUAGGCCCUCAUGUCUGAGUUAACAUAUAUAAGAGUCUGCUUACGUGGUAUGCUGACUCAUAAUAAAUUAUUAAUAUAAUAAUAUAUAUAAUUUAAGUUAAAAAAAUAGUUAAGGUUUAUUUUAACUCUUGUGGUUUUGACAAUUAACCUCUUAAGUCUCUAUAGUUUAACUUGUAUCUAAAAUAACAUAUAUAUUUUUAAAAAUAUAAUAAAUAAACCUCUCUAGUCAAGUAUGAGUUAACGGAUAUUAGAGUUUGCUUACAUAACAAGUUGACCCAUAAUAAACCAUUAAUAUAAUGAGACAUGUAAUUUAAGUUUUUUAAAAAACUGAGACCUCCAUUAAUGGUGGGAGGAGGCAUCAAUGUGGAAGCGACCACUAGUAGCAGCACCAAGCUGCUACUGCUUAACAAGUCAUCAUAUGAAUGUAACCUCUCCCGCGUUGACGAUGAGCUCAGAAGCUUCUGGUCAUACCUCAGGUGGAUGUGCA